UACAGUAAUACAACCCUGAAUGUGCCUGAUCUCAUCUGAUCUUGAAAGUUAAGCAGGGUUGGGCUUGGUUAGUACUUGAGUAGAAAAAUGCCUGGAAAUCAACAGUUGAAAUAU
rnacentral:rRNA from 1 species